UGGUGAAUUUUGCACAAUGGGGGAAACCCUGAUGCAGCGACGCCGCGUGAUUUAGACGGCCUUCGGGUUGUAAAAAUCUUUUUUACGGGAUGAAAAUGACAGUACCGUAAGAAUAAGGUCCGGCUAAAUACGUGCCCGCCGCCGCGGUAAUACGUAUGCACCGAGCUUUGUCCGGAAUCAUUGGUCGUAAAGGUUACGUAGGCGGCCUAGUAAGUUAGAAGUGAAAUAAUAUAGCUCAACUAUAUAAAGCUUGUAAUACUGCUAGGCUUGAGAGAUGGAAGGGAAGGUGGAAUUACUUGUGUAGCGGUGAAUUGAGCAGAUAUUAGGAAGAAUGACGGUGGCGAAGGCAGCUUUCUGGUCAUCAUCUGACGCUGGGGUACGAAAGCGUGGGUAGCAAACAGG
rnacentral:rRNA from 1 species